rnacentral:tRNA from 2 species
GGGGCCGUAGCGCAGAGGGAGCGCGCCUGAAUGGCAUUCAGGAGGUCCCGGGUUCAACUCCCGGCGGCUCCACCA